AUUGAACGCUGGCGGCAGGCCUAACACAUGCAAGUCGAGCGGAGCGGCGGACGGGCGAGUAAUACCUAGGAAUCUGCCUGGUCGUGGGGGAUAACGUUCGGAAACGGACGCUAAUACCUCAUACUAUCAAUUGAGCCUAGGGCGGUUUAGCUAGUUGGUGAGGUAAUGGCUCACCAAGGCUACGAUCCGUAACUGGUCUGAGAGGAUGAUCAGUCACACUGGGACUGAGACACGGUCCAGACUCCUACGGGAGGCAGGAGUGGGGAAUAUUGGACAAUGGGCGAAAGCCUUAUGCCGCCAUGCCGCGUGGGUGAAGAAGGUCUUCGGGUUGUAAAGCACUUUAAGUUGGGAGGCGUUACCGACAGAAUAAGCACCGGCUAACUCCGGGCCAGCAGCCGCGGUAAUUC
rnacentral:rRNA from 1 species